rnacentral:rRNA from 1 species
AGGGUUUGAUCAUGGCUCAGGACGAACGCUGGCGGCGUGCCUAACACAUGCAAGUCGAGCGGGGAGACAGAGAAAGCUUGCUUUAGCUGUUUUCUAGCGGCGGACGGGUGAGUAACGCGUGAACAAUCUGUCCCGGACAGGGGGAUAACACUUGGAAACAGGUGCUAAUACCGCAUAAGACCACAUGCCCGCAUGGGCGAGGGGUAAAAGGAGCGAUCCGGUUUGGGGUGAGUUCGCGUCUGAUUAGCUAGUUGGCGAGGUAACGGCCCACCAAGGCGACGAUCAGUAGCCGACCUGAGAGGGUGAUCGGCCACACUGGAACUGAGAGACGGUCCAG